CUCACUUCCACGGUUGUGUGCACAAAUGUUCACAAACUGCAUAUUCGGCUACAAAAAUGAUAGCGUAAUAUGACAGGAGUGAGAUUUCUUUAGACCAACGUGUAUUUCAUAGUGUGCAAUGUGCCCUUUAUAAUAUGUGAACGCCUUCUAUUCCUAUGUGCAAUGCAGUGGCACAGUUGCAGCAUCGCUGGAAUUGUCUUCGACAGAAGUUCCUCCGACUGCGAAAGACAUACGCCAAGUCUGGCAGUGGCGCAGCGGACGUUGCUAAAUCGUGGCUAUUGAUGCCCCAUCUCAUGUUCCUGGCAGACGCUAUACAACAUCGAAGCCUGGCGAGACAAGAUGCCUCAGCUGCUCUAUCUCUAGGUCACUCAGUCGAGUCAGCCAGUGACUCAGCAUCGUCGGUGGAGGGUUUGUGCCGCACAUUCUACAUUGACAGCACACAAGAUGCAUCAGUUCCUGACGAGGUGCUUCAAGUUUUGUCCACUGCAGACGCUUUGUCGAACCCAAGCAGCGAGGUGGACUCACGGCCUGUCAUUAUCGCACCAGGGACAUCAUCAGUGUGUUCAGACAAAAGUUAUGCACCACCUAAUGUUGUAAAAUGUGAUAUCAAACCGCCGCAUCAUGGGCGCGCUGUCACUGCGCAGGCGCCACGUUCUUUUUCUAUGUUCACUCAUUUUCCCUUUCCGCUUUUUUGCUUUAUAUAUACGUGCAUUAAAUUCUUGUGCGUUGUUCUCGGCUAACCA